AGAUUGAACGCUGGCGGCAUGCCUAACACAUGCAAGUCGAACGGGAGUAGCAAUACUCUAGUGGCGGACGGGUGAGGAAUACGUAGGAAUUUGCCCUUAAGUGGGGGAUAACCCGGGGAAACCCGGAUUAAUACCGCAUGACCUCGAAAGAGCAAAGUGGGGGAUCGCAAGACCUCACGCUUUUGGAGAAGCCUACGUCGGAUUAGCUAGUUGGUGAGGUAAUGGCUCACCAAGGCGACGAUCCG
rnacentral:rRNA from 1 species